rnacentral:tRNA from 1 species
UGCCGAAUUGUGUAAAGGUAGCACGAAUGACUCUGACUCAUUUAGUCCUGGUUCGAAUCCAGGUUCGGCAGCCA